ACCGAGUUGUAGCUUUUGGAAGCAGGGCAAAAGUUCUUUUGAAUAAGACAUCAAAGAGGGUGAUAAUCCCGUAUUUCUUUCUGUGAGUCGGGUUGUUUGGGAAUGCAGCCCUAAUUAGGAGGUAAAUUUCUUCUAAAGCUAAAUAUAAGCAAGAGACCGAUAGCAUACAAGUACCGUGAGGGAAAGAUGAAAAGCACUUUGAAAAGAGAGUGAAAAGUACGUGAAAUUGUUGAAAGGGAACCAGUUGGUGGCCAUUACUUAAAAGUCAACAUCAGUUGUUAGAAAAGGUAGGAGGUCUGUUACAGUAAUGAAUACGACUGAGGAAAAUGGUGUGUACUUUGAAUUUUUGGAUGUUUUAGACAGCACUAAUAACACCUUGGAUGUUGAUUAAAUGGCACUAACUGACCCGUCUUGAAACACGGACCAAGGAGUUCAACAUGCAUGCGAGUAUAUGGGUAAACCCAGAUGCGUAGCGAAAGCAAAUAGAGUGCCAAUAGGCAGCACCAACCAACUUUAGAUAGCGUCGCUUGAAGAAGUUGAGUAAGAGCAUGUAUGCUGAGACCCGAAAGAUGGUGAACUAUGCCUGAAUAGAGUAAAGUCAGAGGAAACUCUGAUGGAAGCUCGUAGAGAUUCUGACGUGCAAAUCGAUCUCCAAAUUUGGGUAUAGGGGCGAAAGACUAAUCGAACCAUCUAGUAGCUGGUUCCUGCCGAAGUUUCCCUCAGGAUAGCAGAGACUUAAGCAGUUUUACGAGGUAAAGCGAAUGAUUAGAGGCCUUGGGGCUGUAAUAGCCUUAACCUAUUCUCAAACUUUAAAUGCGUAAGAAGUGAACUGAAUGAAUUAGUCUCUAGUGGGCCAUUUUUGGUAAGCAGAACUGGCGAUGCGGGAUGAACCGAACGUAGAGUUAAGGUGCCUAAAUGCACGCUAAUUUAGAUACCAUAAAAGGUGUUAGUUCAUCUAGACAGCAGGGCGGUGGCCAUGGAAGUCUGAAUCCGCUAAGGAGUGUGUAACAACUCACCUGCCGAAUGAACUAGCCCUGAAAAUGGAUGGCGCUUAAGCGUGCUACCGAUACUCUACCGCUAAAUUUUAGCGAGUAGGCAGGCGUGGGGGGUAUAGAAGCUGUGGGUGUAAACUCCAGUGGAACAAC
rnacentral:rRNA from 1 species